rnacentral:lncRNA from 1 species
GAACAAGGACCCCUCAGGCCUUAGCUUCUGUUGAGUUAUUUGUUUGUUUGUUGGAGUUGGUGCUGAGCUGCUAAGAUGUCUUCAUACUCUGAACAUCUUCUGUACUUAGCAGCUUGGCGUGAUCACCCUUGAAGUGCAUUUGAGUGUUGCAUGAUGCUUAACUUCUUUAGUUACUCAACCACUUCAGAUGAUCCCUUGAUGACUGCCUUGAAGAUCAUUCCUCUUGAUACAUGAUGGCUGCACAUGAUGGGUUUCUAAGAUGACAUUAAGCUCUUCUCUAGGUACUUAGAAACUUUCUCAUGCUUGCCACCAUGAUGACGUUUAUGAUCUCCUUUCUUGAUACUUGAUGCCUUCUCAUGAUGGACUUGCUAAGAUGACUGUGAGCUCUUCUCUAUGGUACUUAGAGUCUUCCCAUGAUGGACACCAAGAUGACAUGACGCUCUUCUUUCUCUCGGCAGUUCAGAACACUCUUCAUGUAGUAGAACUCUCACUUCUACUUCUUCCUUUGUAUGUCUCUGAGUGUUCUUGGUGGAUCAUAGAGUGAGCCUUCAGACUCACUAUUUUACAUGGUUUAGAA